GGGCUGUUAGCUCAGUUGGUUAGAGCGCUUCCUUGACAUGGAAGAGGUCACAGGUUCGAGUCCUGUACAGCCCA
rnacentral:tRNA from 1 species